GAUGAACGCUGGCGGCGUGCCUAAUACAUGCAAGUCGAGCGAACAGACGAGGAGCUUGCUCCUCUGACGUUUGCGGCGGGGGGGUGUGUAACACGUGGAUAACCUCCUUCUAUGACUGGGAUAACUUCGGGAAACCGGCGCUAAUACCGGAUAAUAUUUUUAACCGUAUUGUUGAAUAGUGAAAGAUGGUUUUGCUGUGACUUCUCGAUGUAUCCGCGCCGCCUUAGCUUGUUGGUAAGUUAACGACUUACCAAGGCGGCGAUGCGUAGCCGACCUGAGAGAGUGAUCGGCCACACGGGAACGGAGACACGGUCCAGACGCCUACGAGAGGCAGCAGAAGGGAACCGUCCGCAAUGGUCGAAAGCCUGACGGAACAACGCGGCGUCAGUGACAAAGGUCUUCGGAUCGUAAAACCCUGUUAUGAGGUAAGAACAAAUGUGUAAGUAACUAUGCACUUCUUGACGGUACCUAAUCAGAAAGCCACGGCUAACUACGUG
rnacentral:rRNA from 1 species